rnacentral:rRNA from 1 species
CAUACCACCCUGAACGCGCCCGAUCUCGUCUGAUCUCGGAAGCUAAUAAGCAGGGUCGGGCCUGGUUAGUACUUGGAUGGGAAAUAAUGUCAAAUAAUAAC